rnacentral:rRNA from 1 species
UACAGAGGUCCCAAGCGUUGUUCGGAUUCACUGGGCGUAAAGGGUGCGUAGGCGGUCGGGUAAGUCUGAUGUGAAAUCUCAGAGCUUAACUCCGAAACUGCAUUCGAUACUGCGGUGCUUGAGGACUGGAGAGGAGACUGGAAUUCAUGGUGUAGCAGUGAAAUGCGUAGAGAUCAUGAGGAAGACCAGUGGCGAAGGCGGGUCUCUGGACAGUUCCUGACACUGAGGCACGAAGGCCAGGGGAGCAAACGGG